rnacentral:lncRNA from 1 species
CGGGGGGCCGCUGGCGGGGGCCGCUGGCGGGCGCGCCUGGGCAGCUUCGGGGCGCGCGGUUGGACCCGACCAACUCCGAAAACGGCGAGCGCCCGAACGCUCAGUAAACCCCAGCCGACCCGCACCACAGAACUUCCCGACCCGGGAACUCCGCUUGUGUGUGAACCAAGUUAACACUCAGUUCCAACAUGUCAGCUGGAUGAGAGAAGGGGCUUUGAUCUACCUCAUACACUGCCUGGUCUCCAAUGCCUGGAACAGCACCUGACUCAUAUGGAGUUUCACUCUUGUUGCCCAAGCUAGAGUGCAGUGGCACAAUCUCGGCUCAAUGCAACCUCCGCCUCCAGAGUUCAAGCAAUUCUCCUGCCUCAGCCUCCCGAGUAGCUGGGAUUACAGUACUUCAGGUCCUACAUACUAAUAAAACUACUGACUCUACUGGUCUGAAGGACCCCAUGAAGAGCUGACUCACCAAAGAAUGCAGUUUCCACAUCCUGAGCUUUUCAUCCCCCCCGUGCCCAACCAGUCAAUGUCUUCAGUUUUCCAGCCCCUCACCCUCCACAAUCCCCUUAAAAGCUCCAGCCCAAAACUCCACAAAAAAAUAAAUUUGAGGGUCUCCUCCUGUCUCCUCACUUGUCACCCUGCAAUCAUUAAACUCGUUCUCCACUACAUCCCUGCUGUCUCAGUGUAAUUGUUCUAUUACUACACAACAGACAUACUACACAACACACAUACUACACAACAGACAUACAUACACAACAUUUGGUCCUAAAGCGGUAGGGAGCAGGCAGCAUCCAUACAAGACGUUCACAGGUCCCAGAGCAGUGAAAGGACCCCACAAGGUCAGCUAAGGUUUCUUCAUCUCUCACCCUUG